rnacentral:rRNA from 1 species
GAUGAACGCUGGCGGCGUGCUUAACACAUGCAAGUCGAACGAUGAAAGCGGGAGCUUGCUCCUGCUGGAUUAGUGGCGAACGGGUGAGUAACACGUGAGUAACCUGCCCUUGACUCUGGGAUAAGCGUUGGAAACGACGUCUAAUACCGGAUACGACCUCCGAAGGCAUCUUCUGGAGGUGGAAAGAAUUUCGGUCAAGG